rnacentral:rRNA from 1 species
UACGUAGGUGGCAAGCGUUAUCCGGAAUUAUUGGGCGUAAAGCGCGCGCAGGCGGUUUCUUAAGUCUGAUGUGAAAGCCCACGGCUCAACCGUGGAGGGUCAUUGGAAACUGGGGAACUUGAGUGCAGAAGAGAAAAGCGGAAUUCCACGUGUAGCGGUGAAAUGCGUAGAGAUGUGGAGGAACACCAGUGGCGAAGGCGGCUUUUUGGUCUGUAACUGACGCUGAGGCGCGAAAGCGUGGGGAGCAAACA